GACGAACGCUGGCGGCGUGCUUAACACAUGCAAGUCGAACGAUGAAGCCCAGCUUGCUGGGUGGAAGAGUGGCGAACGGGUGAGUAACACGUGAGUAACCUGCCCUGAACUCUGGGAUAAGCACUGGAAACGGUGUCUAAUACUGGAUACGACCUAUCACCGCAUGGUGUGUGGGUGGAAAGAUUUAUCGGUUCUGGAUGGACUCGCGGCCUAUCAGCUAGAUGGUGAGGUAAUGGCUCACCAUGGCGACGACGGGUAGCCGGCCUGAGAGGGUGACCGGCCACACUGGGACUGAGACACAGCCCAGACUCCUACGGGAGGCAGCAGUGGGGAAUAUUGCACAAUGGGCGCAAGCCUGAUGCAGCAACGCCGCGUGAGGGAUGACGGCCUUCGGGUUGUAAACCUCUUUUAGUAGGGAAGAAGCGAAAGUGACGGUACCUGCAGAAAAAGCACCGGCUAACUACGUG
rnacentral:rRNA from 1 species